GGCCCGGUAGCGGACGGUCCGCACCUGUGCGCAAUAGCAAAUGAUGAAUCGAUUCUGCAGGAGUUGCUCGUUCGAAUCGAGCCCGGGCCU